AGAAGAAGAAGAAGAAAUAAUCUGGAGCAGCAACGAACGUGGCUGAGCAAACAUCUGUGGAAUAGGAUGUUGAAUCCUCUGUGCAUACUAGGAGUAUUAUGUGUUAUAGCUGAUAUGUCUACAACACAAUCUCUUAUCUAAGGCUCAGGAAAUGUCUUGGAAGAGGGACUGGGAAGACUCUAAGAGCCAGAGAACCAGGAUGACUUCUAAGAGACUGUCUUCUAAAUAGAACGUGAGGGGUUGUAUCUGUGAAGAUAUCAACAAUAUGGUAGCCUAAACAAGACCUACAUAAUGGCCACACCAGUAGACAUGUCAGGGCAAAUGGAG
rnacentral:lncRNA from 1 species